AUGACGAUCAUCUCGUCAUUUGCUGAUCUUUUCACACUCCUCACCAUCCUCAUCUGCCUCCUCCAUCGUUGUGGCGCCAACUAUGAAGUCGAGUCGGUCACCGGGUCGGGGAAUGUGCUGUCAGCCAAGCUGAAACUUGUAGGCGGGAAGGCCGAGUUCGGGCCUGAUGUCAAGCGGCUCAAUCUGACUGCAAGCCUAGAGACGGACAACCGGCUCCACGUGCGCAUCACCGAUGCCGACCGUUCGCGAUGGGAGGUCCCCCAGGACGUUAUCCCGCGCCCAGUGCCGGCGUCGGAGGACGUCUUGCUACAUUCCUCGGGCUUGAGCAAUUCUUCCUUGCCCGGCAACAGUACUAUGUCCAGCACGUCUUCAGACCUGACCUUCACCAUCCACACCGCCCCGUUCCGCUUCACCGUCUCCCGCCGCUCCACCGGCCACGUCCUCUUCGACACCUGCGCCGCCCUCAUCUUCAAGAACCGGUACCUGGAGGUGACGUCCGCGCUGCCAAACAGGGGGGCAUCUUUGUACGGACUGGGCGAGCAGACAAAACGGAGAUUUCGGCUCCAACAGAACGACACGUUCACGAUCUGGAAUGAGGACGUGGGGAGGGCCGACAUACUGGACAUCAACCUCUACAGCUCACACCCAUUCUACAUGGAUGUGCGCCCCGGCGGCACUGCGCACGGCGUUCUGCUCCUCAACACCAACGGGAUGGACAUAAAGUACGGCGGGUCCUACAUCACCUACAAGGUGAUCGGCGGCGUGUUCGACUUCUACUUCUUCGCCGGCCCCUCCCCGCUCACCGUCGUCGACCAGUACACCCAGCUCAUCGGUCGCCCUGCCCCCAUGCCGUACUGGUCAUUCGGGUUCCACCAGUCCAGGUAUGGCUACAAGAAUGUGGCUGACCUGGAGGGCGUGGUCGCGGGCUACACCAAGGCCAAGAUUCCAUUAGAGUCGAUUUGGUCGGACAUCGACUACAUGGACGGCGGCCAGGAUUUCACGCUGGAUCCGAUCAACUUCCCGGCCAAUCUGCUCCGGCCGUUUGUGGACCGGCUGCACAAUAACAGCCAGAAAUACGUGGUCAUCAUAGACCCGGCGAUCAAAAAAGAAGCAGCGCCUCCGCAAAAUGAGUCGGUGGGUCUGUUCCUCCAGCGAAAUGGCACCAACUAUGUCGGCCGGGUGUGGCCAGGCGAGGCCUAUUACCCGGACUUCAUGAGCCCACACGCUGCUGAGUACUGGGCGCGCAAGAUCUCGGAGUUCCGUCGAACCAUCCCCGCCGACGGGCUGUGGUGCGACAUGAACGAGCCCUCCAACUUCAAGGACUGGGAGCCGCUCAACGAGUACGAUGACUCUCCCUACCGCAUCAACAACACUGGCAUUCACCGUAACCUUAAUAACAAGACCGUGCCGGUCUCCGCGGUGCACUUCAAUGGUGUGUCGGAGUACGAUGCGCACAACCUCUACGGCCUCCUCGAGUCGCGGGCCACGCAUGAUGCUCUUCUCAAGGACACGGCGCGCCGCCCCUUCGUGCUCAGUCGCGCCACGUUCGUCAGCUCGGGGCGCUACACCGCUCACUGGACCGGCGACAAUGACGGACGGUGGGAACAGCUUGCGCAGUCCAUCAACACCAUCCUCAACUUUGGACUCUUCGGCAUCCCCAUGAUGGGCGCCGACAUCUGCGGCUUCACCGGCAACACAACCGAGGAGCUCUGCAGCCGCUGGAUACAGCUUGGUGCAUUCUACCCGUUUGCCAGGGCGCAUGCAGAGAAGACAACUGCCCGGCGAGAGCUCUACGUGUGGGAGUCGACGGCACAGUCGGCGAGGAAGGCGUUGGGGAUGCGGUACCGGCUGCUCCCCUACAUCUACACGCUCAUGUAUGAGGCGCACACAACGGGGUCACCCAUAGCGCGCCCGCUCUUCUUCUCCUAUCCUCAGGAUUCCGACACCUACGGCGUGGACAAGCAGUUCCUGCUAGGCCAUGGCGUGCUUGUCUCUCCGGUGUUAGAGCCAGGCGCUACCACCGUCGAUGCCUAUUUCCCGGCCGGCCGGUGGUUUAGUCUUCACGGCCGCUCCCCCGCCAUCUCCUUGCAGACCGGCAAGCGAGUGACGCUCCCAGCGCCAGCGGACUCGGCAAACGUGCACUUGGCCGGCGGCAACAUACUACCACUGCAGCAGCCAGGCCUUACCACGUCCGCCGCACGCCAAAGCGAGUUCCACCUCCUUGUGGCCCUCGCGGAGAAUGGUACUGCCAGCGGGGAGCUGUUCUUGGAUGACGGCGAGUCGCCGGAGAUGGGAGGGGUGGGAGGCAACUGGACGCUGGUGAGGUUUAGCUGCAACACGGAGGAUAGAAAGGGCAUCAUCACGACCACAGUGAGUUCGCAUGUGGUGCAGAACUCGUAUGCACCGAGCCGGACUCUGGCCAUCAGCAAGGUGGCCUUCAUGGGGCUCCCGUCACCACCAAAGGGCUUCACCGUCGAUGUGAACGGCGCUGAGCUCAAGGCAGCCGGCACCAAGUCCCGGAGGAAUGGAGUGUUCACCGUCAGUGGGCUGUCGCUGGUCAUCGGACAGCAGUUCGAGAUCAAGGUCGUCACGUCCCAUUAA
rnacentral:rRNA from 1 species